AUGCGGAGCGUGGCGGGGGCUCUCUACUGCUUGGGGUUCGCCCUGGCGAGCUACGCCAGCGGGGUCAUGGUGACGGUGGUGCACCAGGCGACGAGGGGGCGAGAGGGGCGGCCAGACUGGUUGGUGCAGGACCUGGACCAGGGGAGGGUCGACCUGUUCUACCUCGUCACAGUCGCCAUGGCCGCCGUCAACCUCGUAUACUUUGUUGUCUGCGCCCGGUGGUACAGGCUCAAGGAGUCCGACGACGACGAGGACAACUCCCAUGCCGGCGAUGGCGUCCAGCUCGUCGAUGGAAGCCCAAGAAAGUCCACAAGUGCCACGCCGGUUUAG
rnacentral:rRNA from 1 species